CGGAAACAUGUCUAGCUUGCUAGAUGAUGUCGAGUGGCGGACGGGUGAGUAAUGCUUGGGAACUUGCCUUUGCGAGGGGGAUAACAGUUGGAAACGACUGCUAAUACCGCAUAAUGUCUACGGACCAAACNGGGCUUCGGCUCUGGCGCAAAGAGAGGCCCAAGUGAGAUUAGCUAGUUGGUGAGGUAAAGGCUCACCAAGGCAACGAUCUCUAGCUGUUCUGAGAGGAAGAUCAGCCACACUGGGACUGAGACACGGCCCAGACUCCUACGGGAGGCAGCAGUGGGGAAUAUUGCACAAUGGGGGAAACCCUGAUGCAGCCAUGCCGCGUGUGUGAAGAAGGCCUUCGGGUUGUAAAGCACUUUCAGUUGUGAGGAAAAGUUAGUAGUUAAUACCUGCUAGCCGUGACGUUAACAACAGAAGAAGCACCGGCUAACUCCGUGCCAGCAGCCGCGGUAAUACGGAGGGUGCGAGCGUUAAUCGGAAUUACUGGGCGUAAAGCGCACGCAGGCGGUUUGUUAAGCUAGAUGUGAAAGCCCCGGGCUCAACCUGGGACGGUCAUUUAGAACUGGCAGACUAGAGUCUUGGAGAGGGGAGUGGAAUUCCAGGUGUAGCGGUGAAAUGCGUAGAUAUCUGGAGGAACAUCAGUGGCGAAGGCGACUCCCUGGCCAAAGACUGACGCUCAUGUGCGAAAGUGUGGGUAGCGAACAGGAUUAGAUACCCUGGUAGUCCACACCGUAAACGCUGUCUACUAGCUGUUUGUGACUUUAAGUCGUGAGUAGCGAAGCUAACGCGAUAAGUAGACCGCCUGGGGAGUACGGCCGCAAGGUUAAAACUCAAAUGAAUUGACGGGGGCCCGCACAAGCGGUGGAGCAUGUGGUUUAAUUCGAUGCAACGCGAAGAACCUUACCUACACUUGACAUGUUGAGAAGUUACCAGAGAUGGUUUCGUGCCUUCGGGAACUCAA
rnacentral:rRNA from 1 species